UACGUAGGAGACGAGCGUUGUCCGGAGUUACUGGGCGUAAAGGGUACGCAGGUGGCGGCGCGCGUGGGGGGUGAAAUCGCCUGGCUUAACUGGGCGGGGGCCUUCCAGACGGCGUGGCUUGAGCAGCGGAGGGGGACGUGGAAUUCCGGGUGGAGCGGUGAAAUGCGUAGAGAUCCGGAGGAACACCGACGGCGCAGGCAGCAUCCUGGCCGCUUGCUGACACUGAGGCACGAAAGCUGGGGGAGCAAACAGG
rnacentral:rRNA from 1 species